GACAGGGGUGGCAAGCGUUGUUCGGAGUGACUGGGCGUAAAGGGUCUGUAGGUGGUUUUCCAAGUCUUUGGUAAAAAGCUGUGGCUCAACCAUAGUGAGGCCAAGGAGACUGGGAGACUCGAGGCUGGGAGAGGGAAGCGGAAUUUCUGGUGUAGCGGUGAAAUGCGUAGAGAUCAGAAAGAAGGCCGGUGGCGAAGGCGGCUUCCUGGAACAGACCUGACACUGAGAGACGAAAGCGUGGGGAGCAAACAGGAUUAGAUACCCUGGUAGUCCACGCCCUAAACGAUGGGUACUAAGUGUGGGGAGCAAUCCCUGUGCCGCAGCUAGCGCAAUAAGUACCCGCCUGGGGGGUACGCCGCAAGGUUGAAACUCAAAGGAAUU
rnacentral:rRNA from 1 species